GUGUUGUUUAGAACAGAGAGUGGUCGGAUUGAAAGAGAACAGAGUGAAGAGAGUAAGUGAGAAUUAAAGAGACUGCAAUGGAGCAAAAGAGAGAUUAAGUGAGAUUUGAGAGAGUAUGAGAGAGAUUCUUGUAACCAGAGAUUAGGGAGAGUAUAAGAGACUUGAGAAUGGUGAAGAAGAAAGGGGAAACUCCCCCAUUCAGCUUAAUUUCGUAAUGGUUACAAUGGGGUGGCUUUAUAGCCAGAUUACAAGUUGCAAGUGAUUAAACAAUUGUUAAAGUACAGAUUUACUAAACUAAUAUUAUUGUAGGGUUUCUGAUGGAGCCAGGAGGAUGCAGCCAAGGAGAAUCUCGACCAGAGGGAGUAGAGAGUGACAGGAGAGAGAGAUGGGCACAGUCUGGUUGGGUGAAAGUGACAGCAGGUUCAUCUCCUUAUGCACAUGUGACUUUUAUCUUAAUUAAUUCUCCAACUUGCCAGAUCUCUCUCCAACGGUCUCAUACUUAGUUUAAACUUCAAAUAUGCUUCAGAAAGCUCAGCUGGACGAGUUCCCCACUUGCCUUGACUUCCAAGACACUCUAGGUUAGGUUUGGUUACUUGCAAGCCAAAACUGUACGGACAGAUUCAAAUCUGCUUGUUCCGGAUUUGCUUGCUCUUGAAGCUUGGUCUCUUCAUCAACUCCAGCUUCUUACUUCUUCAUUCCAACACUCCCCCUCAAGCUUGACCAUAGGAGAUCCUUGGACAAGCUUGGAACCUUGAAGAAGCUCCCUCAUUAAAAACCUUAGCAAGAAAACCCAUUGGGACAAAACUUGCUAAGGGAAAAAGAGUGGAGUUUCCACAAAGCUUAGGGAUUGGCCAGUGAGCCUAAGGAACUUCAGAUUCAUCAUGGUGGAGUCCUUAGGCUCUGGAUCGUGGCCUAAUAGGUAUAGCAAGUAUGAAUCACCAUAACUUGCUAUCCUUGAGCACAAGUAGCCGGCUGGAUCAUUUUGUGGCCGGUUUAGGGUCUCCCCCUCUCAACUGGCUUCAAGCCACCUUAGGAAGGCAAGGAAACGACCAGACCAUCUUCUCUGAACCCCCAGCAAAGUUACUUGUUCUUUAGAACUUGGCUUGACCUCUUCAUGGAACCAUAGACUCGGUUAGGGUCUCCCCCUCUCAACUGACUUCUUUGGCCAUCUUAGAAAGGCUAGGACAUGACCGGAUCAUCAUCAUCAUCUUCAGUGAGGCUCAAGCUUAUUUUGGUACCUGAUACAUCAUUUCAAAAGUGCAUCAGUUCUUAAGGAAAUGCACUCAUCACAUCAAACUCAAUAAUAGUUUAAGUAUAAGGACAAUCAUGAAUGUAUUGAGAUGAGUUUAAGGUGCUUCCCUUUUAUAAGAAUGGUCAGGAGUGGACUCCAAUUGAAUCCCCACUUGGUAAGACACAGUCCGGAUUAUGGAAGCUCAAUCACACACUUGGAACUGAGCUUCUUUGAUCCGGUUGGUACUGAGUAAUGCACGAGUGAAUCCACCACUUGCAAACUCCACUUUUGAUCAGAGGUGAGGCAAUGAACGACUUGGAUUGGCGCCAGUUGCUUCACCGUCAAAUCACCUUUGAGCUUCUUCUUAUGACCUGAGCUUGUCUCCCCCUUUCUUCUGGCUUCUUGCCUCCAUUUAGGAGUUGAGACAAAGCUUUUCUUUGUUCAUGAGCUCAAUAGGUACCUGAUUCAAUCAUCCAAAAAAUGCAUGUAUCAAUUCUCAAGGGGCAAACCUAUUCACACAUAAGAAUAAUAAUGGUUUUAGGUACUUCCCUUGCAUCAGUUUGUUGAAUGUUGGUGAGGAUUACUAAGCACUUGAAUCCUCCACGCCAUUCCUUCUCUCAACCAGCCUUUGCAUUGUUCUCUUGAAGUUUCAACAUGUAGGGGGACUUUGCAACUCCAUAAUUUGCCACCAUCAUGUGAUUGCUUAGCCAAGAAUGUCCCUGAUUGAAUAAUCCUUGCAUCUGGCUGGUAAGAACAGUGAGGAGUGACAGCUUCUUCAGUUUGAUCACUUAAGUCCUCUUUUAAUUCGCCAACCUCUUGCUGGUCUUCUAUGAGGAAAUGGGACACUGGAUACAGUAAGCUUCAUGGAUCUUUUGGUAGCUCACUGAUAUUCCCCUCCUCAAGCUUGACUGAGUAUAGUGACAAGCUUGAACGUGAGCUUCAACGAGUUUUGAACUGGGAGCACAACAAUACCAACAUCUGCGCUUAAGCCAACCAGUUUACCAUCUUCCAGGAGCACAACAAUACCAACAUCUGCGCUUAAGCCAACUGGAUCACCAUUUGCCUUCAGCUCCAAUGUCUUUGGACCACCAGUCUCCUCAUGACUUAGGUGAUGGCCUUCCUUGUGAGUCUCUUGAACCAGGAGCACAACAGCUCCUACGCCUGCGCUUAAGCCAACUGAUUCCACUCACAAGGUAUCUUUACAUGGUCAGGACUAAACACCUUGAUCCAUGCCUCUGACCACCGGCCACUCUUGGCUUAGUGAUGGCCUUUUCUCUUGAGUGCACCUCCUGUACAUCCUCUUGGCAUAAGGUAAGUCACUUCUGAGCAGUUUCUCCAAUUCUCCAACAUCCUUUCUAUCUUCAGGGUAGGAAAUGGGCAGACACAUAGAUAGGAUUUGGGACUGGGCAAUCUCCACGGUUCAGGAAUAUCCAUCUUGGGAGGCUCUGAAAAACGUGGGCAAUGCCUUCUUCUUUGUCUUAGUUUGAUGAUGGACAGAGAUCACCUCUUGUGUACCUGAAACAUCACUCAAACUCCAGCAAGAAUCAGACCACACACACUAGGAUCAGCCCUUGAUAAUUCACCAAGUCUGAUCCCAAUGUUUUAAGAGAAGGAAAAUAUGCAAUGAACAGAAUCUACACAACUCAUUCAGUUCAACUCCAUGCAUACUAACAUCACUAACUGCUCAGGUAUGAUAACUCAUCAAUAACAAGGCAAUUAGGCUCUUUUUAUGAAUUUUAAAGACAAUAAACAGAGACUAAACAACUCAUCUAAUCAUCUUGAACAAGAUAUAUAUAAUGCAAUACAAGAUCAGGAGACUCUCCUAGACCUUUAUCAAUGCAACCAGACAAUGACAGUAGCUAAACAAAUCGCCUAGCACAAUACAAACAGAAACAAUUAAUCUAGGACAGGAACUAGACAAUACCAUGCUAGAAAACUCCUAGAAGUAAUUUAAGAAACAGAGCAACACACACAAUUUAAGUAUCAUGGGACAGAAACUAGGUUAACCAACUCUAGCAACUUGAACCUGUCCCAAGGAUACCAAACACACCACUCAACACAACCAGACAUAACUACUCAAGCUCUUAUUACAGGUAGGAGGUUAACUUACAAACAAGGAACCUGAGCUGGUUCCUUGAACCUCCAAGUGAUAUGAUCAUGGACCGGCACAAGGAUGGAGAUAAAGAGUUCAAAGACCAAUCAAGGGAAGAAGAUGAUGCCUUAGUCAUUCCACCAGGUCCCAUCACUCGCGCCAAAGCUAGAAGACUCAAAGAAGCUGUUGGAAGUCUACUUAUGAUCUCAUGGAAGCAAGAAGACGGUCUUGAUGGACGUUUGAUCAAUCAAGACACUCUUAUCACCAUUCAAGCAAUGGUUUCAAACUGAUCAUCAUCUAAGCAAGUGCUUGUGUGUGCUCUUUUCCUAGCCUUUGGUUUUGUCCCAUUGGGUUUUCCAAAGGAAGGUUUUUAAUGAGGCCACAAGUUACUUACAUAAACCUUAGAUGAUGUAUCACGGUUCCACCUUAGGUUAUUUUUAAACUAUGGUUUUUAUUUCAUGUUUUAAAAACUCUUUUCGAAUUUGAAUAAGUCUUUAGUCUUUGUUGUAGUUCCAAGGGAGCCUGUUCCCUUUAAUGAUCUCGAGAAUAUGGAGCCUGUUCCAUACUUCUCUAUAUAAGUUUGUUUGCGUUCUCUCUUUUAAUCACAAUCCUUUUUCUACAAAUCUAUCAGAUUUCUUUGUUCUCUCUUUACUUCUCAUCAAGUCUUGAGUGAAUCUCGUUGGUGUGUCAUAUCCAACAACUAAGGGUGUCUAUUUUGGUGUGUAAUAUCCAAGCUAGUCAUCUAGGAGUAUCAAGGAGCCAUUCCGCAACUCUUUGUGUCACCAAACGAUCCAUCACCUUGAUAAACUUGAGUCUCUGAUUCGUUUAUACAAGGAUCUAUCCAAUUCAAUCCAAAGAAGCAUCCUAGGAGUUCAUUAAGUGGUAUCAGAGCUGCUUUGGAUUGGGAAGUUUUCGAUUUCUCUUCUGUUUCAAAUAAACUUUUCAACUUCUUUGAUUACCAUUGAUAGAUCUGCGAUCUGUUGUUGUUUCUCGUAUCAUCUGAGUAGCAUAUCACCUGAUUGCUAAUCGUCUGUGUUGAAUCCUAUUAGAUCUAAGUGUUCUUAUCAUAUUUUGAAUCAAACUCAUCCGAUCCGUGUGAAGGAAGUAAUCGAAUCGCUUGAUCUGUCGAAUCACUUGCUGAAUAACUUGAUUUGUGUUGUUUCUGUGAUAGAUCUGUUCUUAUUUGUCUUGAAUCUGAUCUGCAUAAAUCCAAAAUUGAUAGAUCUAAUCUUAGUUUUGUCGAUUUGAAUUCUCUAAUCCGUGAUCUGCAAGUUUUCUAUCUUUUGAAUCUUUUGAAAGUUGUUUCCGCGUCGACUAAUUGUUCUGAUUUGAUUCUUGUGAACAUCUUACUUGUUUGAGUGUUUUCUGAAUCAGGUACCAUGGUGAGAGAGUCGGAAGAUGAAGCAGAACUCGUGAGACAGAACAAGUUAUUGAGAGAUCAGAUGACUGAGCAAUUAAACCAAACGAUGAUCACUACCGUUGCUGAUAUGAUCAAGAGCAGUAUGAAGGAACUUCGCGAUGAAAUAAGGCAAGAGAUAAGGCAAGCUACGGGCCAAGGUCAUAGCAAUGAGUCUAGACGAGAAAGACGUGAUGAAACCCCGAGAGAGCAUGCUGAAUCACAAGAAACAGACCACUACUAUGAGCGUAACCGAGCCACGCACAGCAGUUCCUCUUCUAGAGAUAGUAGAAGGAGACAUAGAAGAGAUCAUGAUGAAAGGAGAACUUACAGAGAUGAUCUUGCUGGUUUAAAGCUGAAGAUACCUCCUUUCCAUGGCAAAGUUGAUCCGGAUGCUUACUUGGAAUGGGAAAAGAAGAUGGAGUUGGUGUUUAACUGUAAGCACUACACCAAUGCCCAAAGGAUUCAGAUAGCAGCAACUGAGUUCCAUGACUAUGCGCUGAGUUGGUGGGACCAGCUUGUGACUACCAGGAGACUUAACCAAGAGUAUCCCGUUGAAACAUGGCACGAGAUGAAGGCUCUCAUGCGUAAAAGAUUUGUGCCAAAUCACUAUCAUCGCGACUUGCACCAGAAGUUAAGAAGACUCACCCAAGGAUCUCGAUCUGUUGAAGAAUACUAUCAAGACAUGGAGCUGUUGAUGCUGAGAGCUCGUGUUUCUGAAGAUAAAGAAGCUACUAUGGCUAGGUUCUUAGGAGGUCUCAACCGAGAGAUACAAGAUAAUGUUGAGAUGCAGCACUAUGUGGAGAUAGAAGAGAUGCUUCACAAAGCUAUACUAGUUGAGCAACAAGUUAAGAGGAAGGGCCAUUCUCAUUCUCGUUACAACACCAGACUUCAGGGAACUAAAGAAGAAAAGUCUAGCUAUCAAAAGGAAAGCAAACCGCAACUGAAAGAAGACUCAAAGCCAAAUUCCUUUUACAGCAAGGAUAAAGGAAAGGCCGAGGUUUCAAGUGCAAGAGCUAGAGAUGUUAAGUGCUUUAAGUGUCAGGGUAGAGGCCAUUAUGCAAAUGAGUGCACCAAUAAAAGAAUCAUGAUUCUUCUUGAGAAUGGAGAGUAUGAAUCUGAGGAUGAGCUUUCAGAGUCUGAGUAUAAGGCGCUUAUUGAAGAAGAAUAUGAAGAAGAACCCGUGAAAGGAAGGUUAUUGGUGGCUAGAAGAACUUUGAGUUUGCAAAGUAAAGCUGAAGAGCAAGAACAGAGAGAGAAUCUAUUCUACACUCGGUGCCUUGUGCAAGGAAAGGUCUGUAGUCUUAUCAUUGAUGGAGGAAGUUGUGUGAAUGUAGCUAGUGAAACUAUGGUAAAGAAGCUUGGCCUCCAAGUACAGAAACAUCCAAAGCCCUACCGGCUUCAAUGGUUGAAUGAAGAAGGAGAAAUGAGGGUUUCUAGUCAGGUUUCGGUUCCCAUUGCAAUUGGAAGGUAUGAGGAUGAGGUUCUCUGUGAUGUAUUGCCUAUGGAAGCUGGACAUAUCCUUCUUGGUCGGCCAUGGCAAUCAGAUAGACGAGUGAUACAUGAUGGCUACACCAACAAGCACACGUUUGAGUUCAAAGGAAAGAAGACUGUGCUGGUUCCUCUAACACCAAAGGAAGUUCAUCAAGAUCAACUGCAGCUACAAAAGAAGAAAGAAAUAGACCUCAAACCUGAAUCAAAGAAGCAGCAUAGUCUCUAUGCCAAAUCGGGUGAAAUCAAAAGAACUCUCAAUGCUCAUCAAUCUAUUCUUUUACUUAUCUUUAAAGAGUCUCUUUUGAAUGUUACUGACCCAACACCGGUAUAUCCGAGUGAAAUUAAGUGUCUUUUACAGGAAUUUGAAGAUGUAUUUCCUGAAGAUAAUCCAAUUGGUCUUCCACCUCUUAGAGGGAUUGAGCAUCAGAUUGAUUUUGUUCCUGGUUCUACACUUCCAAAUAGGCCAGCUUAUAGGACUAAUCCCGUGGAGACUAAAGAACUGCAAAAACAAGUUGAGGAGUUGAUGGCAAAGGGGCAUAUCCGUGAGAGCAUGAGCCCAUGUGCAGUACCAGUGCUUCUUGUGCCUAAGAAAGAUGGAAGCUGGCGCAUGUGUGUUGAUUGUAGAGCCAUCAACAACAUCACUGUAAAGUAUCGCCAUCCUAUUCCUAGAUUAGAUGAUAUGCUUGAUGAAUUGCAUGGUUCCUGCAUAUUUUCUAAGAUUGAUUUGAAAAGUGGAUACCAUCAGAUUAGGAUGAAAGAAGGAGAUGAAUGGAAAACUGCAUUCAAAACUAAACAUGGUCUUUAUGAGUGGUUAGUCAUGCCAUUUGGAUUAACCAAUGCACCUAGUACAUUCAUGAGAUUAAUGAAUCAUGUUCUUAGAUCAUUCAUUGGCAUAUUUGUUGUGGUAUACUUUGAUGACAUCCUUGUAUACAGUAAGAGCUUUAAUGAUCAUAUAGGACAUCUUAGAGCUGUUCUUGAUGUGCUUAGAAAGGAAUCUCUUUUUGCUAACCUUAAGAAGUGUACUUUUGGAACGGAUCACUUGGUUUUUCUAGGCUUUGUUGUGAGUGCAGAUGGAGUAAAGGUAGAUCAAGAGAAGGUGAAAGCAAUACAAGAGUGGCCGAUUCCUAAAACCAUCAGUGAAGUGCGAAGCUUCCAUGGAUUAGCUGGCUUCUACCGACGGUUUGUAAAAGAUUUUAGCACCAUAGCCGCUCCAUUGACUGAGGUGAUCAAGAAAGAAGUUGGAUUCAAAUGGGGAGAAGCACAAGAACUUGCCUUUCAAUGCCUAAAAGAGAAGCUUACUAAUGCCCCUCUUCUUAUACUUCCUGAUUUCAAUAAAACUUUUGAAAUUGAAUGUGAUGCUUCAGGAAUUGGAAUUGGUGCUGUUCUUAUGCAGGAGAAGAGACCCAUAGCAUAUUUCAGUGAGAAACUAGGAGGAGCGACUCUCAACUAUGCUACUUAUGACAAGGAACUCUACGCUUUGGUGAGGGCUUUGCAGACAUGGCAGCAUUACCUAUGGCCCAAGGAGUUUGUCAUUCACACUGAUCAUGAGUCUCUCAAGUACCUUAAAAGCCAAAACAAACUCAGCAAGAGACACGCAAGGUGGGUUGAGUUCAUUGAGACAUUUCCUUAUGUCAUCAAGUAUAAACAAGGUAAGGAAAACAUAGUUGCUGAUGCACUAUCCAGAAGGUAUGUUCUCUUGAACACUCUUGAUGUUAAGCUAUUAGGAUUUGAGCAGAUUAAAGUAAUGUAUGAGAAUGAUCCUGAAUUUAAAGAUGCUUAUAAGUCUUGUGAGAAAUUUGCUGCUGGACAUUACUUUAGGCAGGAUGGAUUUCUUUUCUAUGAUAAUAGACUUUGUGUGCCUAAUUGUUCUUUGAGAGAUUUAUUUGUUAGGGAAUCUCAUGGAGGAAGCCUCAUGGGACAUUUUGGUGUCGCAAAAACUCUCAAGACCUUGCAGGAUCACUUCUACUGGCCGCGGAUGAAAAGAGAUGUGGAAAGACUCUGUGAAAGGUGUGCAACUUGUAAACAAGCUAAGUCCAAAGUCCAAAACCAUGGUUUGUACACGCCUUUACCCAUCCCUUAUCAUCCUUGGAAUGAUAUCUCUAUGGACUUCAUUGUUGGAUUGCCUAGAACUCGUACUGGUAAAGAUUCAAUCUUUGUGGUAGUUGAUAGAUUUUCUAAGAUGGCACACUUCAUUGCUUGUCAUAAAACUGAUGAUGCAUUGCAUGUAGCUAACUUGUUCUUUAAGGAGAUUGUGCGUUUACAUGGCAUGCCUAAGACUAUUGUAUCUGAUAGAGAUACUAAGUUUCUAAGCUACUUUUGGAAAACUCUCUGGUCUAAACUAGGCACUAAGCUAUUAUUUUCUACUACUUGUCACCCACAAACUGAUGGUCAGACUGAAGUAGUUAAUAGAACUCUUGGUACACUCUUGCGUGCAAUUAUAAAGAAGAACUUGAAAUCAUGGGAAGAUUGUUUGCCUCAUUGUGAAUUUGCAUAUAAUCAUGCUGUGCAUUCUGCUACUAAGUUUUCUCCAUUUGAAAUUGUUUAUGGGUUCAAUCCCAUCUCUCCUUUGGAUCUAAUACCUUUACCUGAGUGUGAAAGAGUUAGUCUUGAUGGCAAGAAGAAGGCAGAGAAGGUACAACAACUUCAUGAACAAGCAAGGCGCAACAUAGAAGAGAAGACUAAGCAAUAUGCCAAACAAGCAAACAAGGGGAGGCGUGAAAGAGUCUUUGAAGUGGGUGAUCAAGUCUGGAUUCACCUAAGGAAAGAAAGAUUUCCUAAUGAGAGGAAAUCCAAGCUCAUGCCAAGGAUUGAUGGACCAUUUGAGAUCAUAAAGAAAAUCGGCAACAAUGCUUACAAGCUGGAUCUCCAAGGAAGGUAUGAUGUGAGCAAUAGUUUUAAUAUCACUGACUUGGUUCCUUAUUUUGCAGAUGAGCCAGAUUUGAGGACAAAUCCUUUUCAAGAGGGAGGGGAUGAUAUGAUCAUGGACCGGCACAAGGAUGGAGAUAAAGAGUUCAAAGACCAAUCAAGGGAAGAAGAUGAUGCCUUAGUCAUUCCACCAGGUCCCAUCACUCGCGCCAAAGCUAGAAGACUCAAAGAAGCUGUUGGAAGUCUACUUAUGAUCUCAUGGAAGCAAGAAGACGGUCUUGAUGGACGUUUGAUCAAUCAAGACACUCUUAUCACCAUUCAAGCAAUGGUUUCAAACUGAUCAUCAUCUAAGCAAGUGCUUGUGUGUGCUCUUUUCCUAGCCUUUGGUUUUGUCCCAUUGGGUUUUCCAAAGGAAGGUUUUUAAUGAGGCCACAAGUUACUUACAUAAACCUUAGAUGAUGUAUCACGGUUCCACCUUAGGUUAUUUUUAAACUAUGGUUUUUAUUUCAUGUUUUAAAAACUCUUUUCGAAUUUGAAUAAGUCUUUAGUCUUUGUUGUAGUUCCAAGGGAGCCUGUUCCCUUUAAUGAUCUCGAGAAUAUGGAGCCUGUUCCAUACUUCUCUAUAUAAGUUGUUUGCGUUCUCUCUUUUAAUCACAAUCCUUUUUCUACAAAUCUAUCAGAUUUCUUUGUUCUCUCUUUACUUCUCAUCAAGUCUUGAGUGAAUCUCGUUGGUGUGUCAUAUCCAACAACUAAGGGUGUCUAUUUUGGUGUGUAAUAUCCAAGCUAGUCAUCUAGGAGUAUCAAGGAGCCAUUCCGCAACUCUUUGUGUCACCAAACGAUCCAUCACCUUGAUAAACUUGAGUCUCUGAUUCGUUUAUACAAGGAUCUAUCCAAUUCAAUCCAAAGAAGCAUCCUAGGAGUUCAUUACCAAGGCACACUGUUCACUUGAACUUGACAGCUUUGGAGUUUGGGAUCUCUACCCCACGCCAUUUCCUUGUGUGUGCUUUCCCUUUAGACCACUCAUGCUUAAGACCCCUCCUUUCUUCCUGAUUACCAGGCGCCACCUUCUGGCACACAGUGAGAGACUCCACUUUGGGAAGAACUUGAAAAACACUUGUACAGACUUGGUUUGGAGCAUUGCUCGCCAAACAGCUCCAAAACCUUCUUUCUCCAAGAGAUCUCUUCAGGCUGAACAGGAGGAAGGGUGAUAGACCUUGGGAAGUCUCUGGACACGCCAUGUUUGUAGUCUUCUUCCUCUUGAAGAGAUUGAACAGCUGGCUGGACAGAAACUCUCCAAUGAUUUGAAAUAACAAUGAGGGUGAGCCUAUGCUUGAAUUGUGGAAGCUUUGAGUUUCAGAUACUAAAGACCUCCUUUAUCUUGAGUUCUGGUGAGUCUCUUCCCUCCUGGAAAAGCUUUAGACCAGAGGAUACAAGGAUGAACAGAAACAGAGAUUUUUGAAGAGAAGUAUGAACUGUAAUAGAUUUGCGGAAGCUCUAUGGAUUCUCAGGAGCUUGGAGCUCUGAUACCAUGUGAGAAUAGACAGAUUAUGGUGUGUGAGUGUUGUUUAGAACAGAGAGUGGUCGGAUUGAAAGAGAACAGAGUGAAGAGAGUAAGUGAGAAUUAAAGAGACUGCAAUGGAGCAAAAGAGAGAUUAAGUGAGAUUUGAGAGAGUAUGAGAGAGAUUCUUGUAACCAGAGAUUAGGGAGAGUAUAAGAGACUUGAGAAUGGUGAAGAAGAAAGGGGAAACUCCCCC
rnacentral:lncRNA from 1 species